CAACAGUCUGCAUCUUACAACCUUCUGUCUUCAGUACAAACCAACAGUGAUAGCAUGUGUAUGCAUUCAUUUGGCUUGCAAAUGGUCCAAUUGGGAGAUCCCUGUAUCAACUGAUGGAAAGCAUUGGUGGGAAUAUGUGGAUCCUACAGUUACUCUAGAAUUAUUAGAUGAGCUAACACAUGAGUUUCUACAAAUAUUGGAGAAAACGCCUAAUAGGUUGAAGAAGAUUCGAAACUGGAGGGCUAAUCAGGCAGCUAGGAAACCAAAAGUAGAUGGACAGGUGGGCUACGGACAUCUCAGCACCCUCGUGAAACUGGACAAGAAGCCAGUGGAGACCAACGGUCCUGAUGCCAAUCACGAGUACAGUACAAGCAGCCAGCAUAUGGACUACAAAGACACAUUCGACAUGCUGGACUCACUGUUAAGUGCCCAAGGAAUGAACAUGUAAUAAUUUGUUUAGGUCAAUUUUUCCUUUACUUUUUUAAUUUAAAAAUUGUUAGAAUGGAAAAAUUCCUUCUGAUCUAGCAGUGGUAACCCCUGCUGUUGCUGCCACUGCUUCAAUAUUUGUAAGUGCUGCUUUAUUCUUCAUUCUGAAAAGAAGAGAUUAUAGUAAACAAGUCUUUAUCUCCACAUAUGAU
rnacentral:lncRNA from 1 species